rnacentral:rRNA from 1 species
AUUGAACGCUGGCGGAAUGCUUUACACAUGCAAGUCGAACGGCAGCACGGACUUCGGUCUGGUGGCGAGUGGCGAACGGGUGAGUAAUGUAUCGGAACGUGCCCAGUCGUGGGGGAUAACGUAGUGAAAAUUACGCUAAUACCGCAUACGAUCUAUGGAUGAAAGCGGGGGAUCGCAAGACCUUGCGCGAUUGGAGCGGCCGAUAGCAGAUUAGGUAGUUGGUGGGGUAAAGGCCCACCAAGCCAACGAUCUGUAGCUGGUCUGAGAGGACGACCAGCCACACUGGAACUGAGACACGGUCCAGACUCCUACGGGAGGCAGCAGUGGGGAAUUUUGGACAAUGGGCGAAAGCCUGAUCCGGCCAUUCCGCGUGCAGGAUGAAGGCCCUCGGGUUGUAAACUGCUUUUGUACAGAACGAAAAGGUUUCUACUAAUACUAGGAGCUCAUGACGGUACUGUAAGAAUAAGCACCGGCUAACUACGUGCCAGCAGCCGCAGUAA